UAAUACAGAGGGUGCUAGCGUUGUUCGGAAUUACUGGGCGUAAAGGGCGUGUAGGCGGUUACGUAAGUCAGAUGUUAAAGACCUGGGCUUAACCUAGGGGGUGCGUUUGAUACUGUGUGACUAGAGUGCAGGAGAGGAGAGUGGAAUUCCCGGUGUAGAGGUGAAAUUCGUAGAUAUCGGGAGGAACACCAGUGGCGAAGGCGGCUCUCUGGACUGCUACUGACGCUGAGGCGCGAAAGCGUGGGGAGCAAACAGG
rnacentral:rRNA from 1 species